AGAGUUUGAUCCUGGCUCAGGAUGAACGCUGGCGGCGUGCUUAACACAUGCAAGUCGAACGAAGCACUUUAUUUGAUUUCCUUCGGGACUGAUUAUUUUGUGACUGAGUGGCGGACGGGUGAGUAACGCGUGGGUAACCCUGCCCUUGUACAGGGGGAUAACAGUUGGAAACGGCUGCUAAUACCGCAUAAGCGCACGGCAUCACAUGAUGCAGUGUGAAAAACUUCCGGUGGUAUAAGAUGGACCCGCGUUGGAUUAGCUAGUUGGUGAGGUAACGGCCCACCAAGGCGACGAUCCAUAGCCGACCUGAGAGGGUGACCGGCCACAUUGGGACUGAGACACGGCCCAAACUCCUACGGGAGGCAGCAGUGGGGAAUAUUGCACAAUGGGCGAAAGCCUGAUGCAGCGACGCCGCGUGAGCGAAGAAGUAUUUCGGUAUGUAAAGCUCUAUCAGCAGGGAAGAUAAUGACGGUACCUGACUAAGAAGCCCCGGCUAACUACGUGCCAGCAGCCGCGGUAAUACGUAGGGGGCAAGCGUUAUCCGGAUUUACUGGGUGUAAAGGGAGCGUAGACGGUAGACCAAGUCUGAAGUGAAAGCCCGGGGCUCAACCCCGGAACUGCUUUGGAAACUGGUAAACUAGAGUGCAGGAGAGGUAAGUGGAAUUCCUAGUGUAGCGGUGAAAUGCGUAGAUAUUAGGAGGAACACCAGUGGCGAAGGCGGCUUACUGGACUGUAACUGACGUUGAGGCUCGAAAGCGUGGGGAGCAAACAGGAUUAGAUACCCUGGUAGUCCACGCCGUAAAC
rnacentral:rRNA from 1 species